rnacentral:rRNA from 1 species
CCUACGGGAGGCAGCAGUGGGGAAUAUUGCACAAUGGGCGAAAGCCUGAUGCAGCAACGCCGCGUGAAGGAAGAAGGGUUUCGGCUCGUAAACUUCUAUCAACAGGGACGAAAGAAAUGACGGUACCUGAAUAAGAAGCCCCGGCUAACUACGUGCCAGCAGCCGCGGUAAUACGUAGGGGGCAAGCGUUAUCCGGAAUUACUGGGUGUAAAGGGUGAGUAGGCGGUGUAGCAAGUUAGAAGUGAAAUACCUAGAGCUUAACUCAGGUGCUGCUUCUAAAACUACUAUACUUGAGUGCAGUAGAGGAAAGUGGAAUUCCUAGUGUAGCGGUGGAAUGCGUAGAUAUUAGGAGGAACAUCAGUGGCGAAGGCGACUUUCUGGACUGUAACUGACGCUGAGGCACGAAAGUGUGGGGAGCAAACAGGAUUAGAUACCCGUGUAGUC